GCGCUCCUUAAGUUCUCUACGGAUAUUCGUCCAGGUUCCUCCCGUUGUGAAAGUCCAGGGCUGGGGUGGCCGUAGGGACGACGCCUGGGGUACCCCAGAAGCCGGGAAAUGGAAAGCCGAGAAUAACCACUUUGACAAAAACUUGAAAUCCGUUGCUUGAAAUCCAGCACCUCCGCCCAGGACCCUCCCUGGACACAGACAUCCUAUGCGAAGUCCUUUGGGUGGAGGUUCUUCUUGAGAAAGUUUCCUGGGUAUUUUGUCCUGUGAGAAUGGCCCUUCUUGGGUUUGUCACCUGGAAAGACUUGUGGACUUACUCCUUUUUCAAUAGAGAGAAAAUGUUGAUAGACAAGAAACACUUGUUCUCUUAAGUGGCUAAAUGAAGAUAUGUUGUCAUUCUCACCUACUGAGGCCAGAUUCCUCAAGGUUUCCCGCAUCACAUCUCUAUAGAGCUUCUUCUGUGAAGGAUCCAGCAGAGCCCACUCUUCCAGACUGAAGUUCACAGCCACAUCCUCAAAGGUCACUGAGUCCUGAAACACCCCACAUAUGUACAAGGAAGACAGAGGGGAAGGGAAGGAGAGAGGAAGAGAAACAUCAAUGUAUGGUUGCCUUUCGUGCAUCCCCUGCUGGGAGCUGGCCUGCAGGGAACCGGCCUGCAACCCAGGUAUGUGCCCUGACUGGGAAUCGA